UCCGUAGGUGAACCUGCGGAAGGAUCAUUAAUUUCGGUAGGCAACUAUCGUUUGAGGGCAGCAGAAAUUCUUUGGGUGUCCCCCAAAGGAAAGUAUGCUGCUUUUCUUAACCCUUUGACUUUUUGCAAACCCAAGUUUCCUCGGCAGGCUUGCCUGCCGGCUGGACAAUCUAUAACCCUUUUAAUUCUCAAUCAGCGUCUGAAUAAUUAUAAUAAUUACAACUUUCAACAACGGAUCUCUUGGUUCUGGCAUCGAUGAAGAACGCAGCGAAAUGCGAUAAGUAGUGUGAAUUGCAGAAUUCAGUGAAUCAUCGAAUCUUUGAACGCACAUUGCACUCCUUGGUAUUCCGAGGAGUAUGCUUGCUUGAGUGUCCGUUUAUAAAAUAUCGCGAUUGAAUAUUUGACAUUCGUGGAUUUGGGACAUCCGAUUCUAACUAUUGGAUUUGGAGACCUUAAAAUUAAAAAUCAUUUGGUAUGAUCAAAACGGGCUAUUAUAUAAAGUAGAUCGUUGACAAUCUCACCAGAAUUUUUACAAUCGAGUUUGGACCUCAAGUCAAGUAAGGAUACCCGCUGAACUUAAGCAUAUCAAUAAGCGGAGGGAAGUCGGACUGGCCAAGGGGCACACCAGGGGGGGGGGAUA
rnacentral:rRNA from 1 species